rnacentral:rRNA from 1 species
UACGUAGGGUGCAAGCGUUGUCCGGAAUUAUUGGGCGUAAAGAGCUCGUAGGCGGCUUGUCACGUCGACUGUGAAAACCCGGGGCUCAACCCCGAACUUGCAGUGGGUACGGGCAGACUAGAGUGUGGUAGGGGAGACUGGAAUUCCUGGUGUAGCGGUGAAAUGCGCAGAUAUCAGGAGGAACACCGAUGGCGAAGGCAGGUCUCUGGGCCACUACUGACGCUGAGAAGCGAAAAGCAUGGGGAGCGAACAGG